rnacentral:rRNA from 1 species
GGGCCCGCACAAGCGGUGGAGUAUGUGGUUUAAUUCGAUGCAACGCGAAGAACCUUACCAGGGUUUGACAUCCUGCGAAUCUCUUGGAAACGAGAGAGUGCCUUCGGGAGCGCAGUGACAGGUGGUGCAUGGCUGUCGUCAGCUCGUGUCGUGAGAUGUUGGGUUAAGUCCCGCAACGAGCGCAACCCACGUCUUUAGUUGCCAGCAUUUAGUUGGGCACUCUAGCGAGACCGCCGGUGAUAAACCGGAGGAAGGUGUGGAUGACGUCAAAUCAUCACGGCCCUUACGUCCUGGGCUACACACGUGCUACAAUGGUACAGACAGAGGGCAGCCACCUGGCGACAGGGAG